ACAUCGCAGAAAGCGAGGUUGGUUUUUCCAAAAGAUUUCUCCAGCUCCCGCACCAGGUCAAGCUUACCCGAACUGCCGGAAACCUUUUAGUGCAAAUAAUUAAAAAUGGAAAAAGUUAUGGUAAUAAUGCUUUGUAGCAGGUGAGGUCCUCUUUUGAUAGCAUGAGUCCAGGCUGCAGUUUCGUCUGUCUGCCCCCUUGGAGACACACAUUUAGAAAACAUCAGUUACCCUGAACAAUGACAGCAUUUUGCAGAGUGCUUCACAUGUCGGAAUGUCUCAUACCCGAAAGUAUGCUGAUUAUAAGCCCUACAGCGAUGACCGUCACAGUCCCCAAUGGGCCGAAGUACAGUAUGAAGUCGUCCAUGUUUGCAGUCCAGUUAGUGCCCUCUGGUGCCAUUGAGAAGUUACAGCCGUGUGUCAUCAGAGGCAACGGUCUGCUGUUCUCUGGUUGCGGUGGGUAUAUCUGUGCUCCAAUGCACACCCACAGU